UACGUAGGUGGCGAGCGUUGUCCGGAUUUAUUGGGCGUAAAGCGCGCGCAGGCGGUGCGGUAAGUCUGUCGUGAAAUCUCCCGGCUCAACUGGGAGGGUGCGGUGGAGACUGCCGGACUGGAGGCACUCAGAGGCCGGUGGAAUUCCCGGUGUAGUGGUGAAAUGCGUAGAGAUCGGGAGGAACACCAGUGGCGAAGGCGGCCGGCUGGGGGAGCCCUGACGCUGAGGCGCGAGAGCGUGGGGAGCGAGCCGG
rnacentral:rRNA from 1 species